AGUGAACGCUGGCGGUAGGCCUAACACAUGCAAGUCGAACGGCAGCACAGUAAGAGCUUGCUCUUACGGGUGGCGAGUGGCGGACGGGUGAGGAAUACAUCGGAAUCUACUUUUUCGUGGGGGAUAACGUAGGGAAACUUACGCUAAUACCGCAUACGACCUACGGGUGAAAGCAGGGGAUCUUCGGACCUUGCGCGAUUAAAUGGGCCGAUGUCGGAUUAGCUAGUUGGCGGGGUAAAGGCCCACCAAGGCGACGAUCCGUAGCUGGUCUGAGAGGAUGAUCAGCCACACUGGAACUGAGACACGGUCCAGACUCCUACGGGAGGCAGCAGUGGGGAAUAUUGGACAAUGGGCGCAAGCCUGAUCCAGCCGUACCGCGUGGGUGAAGAAGGCCUUCGGGUUGUAAAGCCCUUUUGUUGGGAAAGAAAAGCAGCAGGUUAAUACCCCGCUGUUCUGACGGUACCCAAAGAAUAAGCACCGGCUAACUUCGUG
rnacentral:rRNA from 1 species